AUCAAGUACAAACUUUUUUUCAUUUAACCCAUUCCUGUUGUCUUAAAUAACUCAAGCAUUGCAGAAUUCUUUUUAAACUACUAGUUCCUUUCAUGAAAGUAUCAUCAGUUUCUGAAACCGAAAAUAAUCUAGAUUAUUAACUUUUACUUAUUUGGGAGAAAGAAAUACUAGCUCAGUUUGCACAUGUGUGCUUUUGGACUCUGUAUUUCAUGAUAAACAACACUGUGUUAUUACCAUAUGUUAAUCUGAAGUUUUAUGUGGAAAAGGAAAGAGCACUAGAUAUCAUGUACAUUUUAAUAAAUGCCUCAAAUAAACCAUGCCUAGAGAUAGUGUUAAUGAUUCAAGCUUUUCCAUAACACACUUGAAAUAGUGGACUAAACUGCACAGAAGAGAAUUCACAGUUCUUACUUUUGCAAUACAUGUGUGAGAUACUUAAACCUUUCAUGUUUCUUUUCCAUGGCUUCAUCUGGGAUUUAUCCUCCAAAUUAUUUAAGCCUAAAUGUUAAAUAGGGCUUUCAAAUUAUGAUUUGCAUGUGUGCACGCAAGGGGCAUGACUUAAACUGUGCUGUGAGAAGCCUACGUGAGAAUUUCCUGAAUUUAGAGCAUAUGAAAAUCUCUAAGGGUCUUUCUGCACAGUUGACAAUGAUUAAGAUCUGGUAUGAUAAAUUUUGACAUUUGAUACUCAACCAUGGAGGAUGGAUCACUCACGACUGGGUAACAGGAUGUGAAGCCUUCGCAUUACAUUUUGUCAAUUGAUAUCUAGGUCCCAUCCAAGGAACUGGAUGGGCUUUAUCACAUGGCUGGCACUGUGGUGGAAUGAAUUCGGUUUCAACUUUCAGGUGGGGUCAAAACAUAAAACUUGCCAUCCUAAUGUUACACAUUUGACAUUCUCACUGGUAGAAUAAGAAUGAUGCCAAGAAAUAACUUAGCUGAAAAUAUACUCUCAAAUUUGGAAGAUGACUGUAGCCAGGGAGCCUGUUUAGCCAAAAUUACUAGAGAUGUCUGCAAUGCUCUUGCCUAAUUUUCCACUUCUCUGCUUAUAAAUAAAUGUCCUAAUUUCUUGUGAGAAAGUAAAAGGCUCACUGACUGCUAUAUCACUCCUGGGAUUUAAUGCUAAAAGUGUUCUACAUGAAGGUCAAUGUUACAGUGAGAUAUAGGUCCUAACCUCCUUUAUCCCCAGUAAUCAUCUUUCUGUUAUAGGCAAAAGGGUAAGUAUGUGUGUAUUUCCAAUAUCCUAAUUAUACUUUUUUUUUCAAAUUUUCUUCUUUUCUCCAUCUACUACCUGAUAAUUUAGAUAAAUGGUGAUUUUACUCUUUAAAAAUAAUGUAAAAAUGUGACUGCUCUCACUAGGCAGUGUAUGAGACAGUACAAAGUUUGGCACAGAUUUUAAUUACUAUGAGCUCAAAGAAAUGAAUGGUACCUUUAGUGGUAAAGGAAAGCUUAAUGGAGGAGAUGGGAAUAGAGUGCAGAAUGGGUAGGAGGGGGCAGGUAGAUUAAAGAGAGGCAAGGGUCUAGGAUGACCUUAGUGAUGUCUAGGAAAACCAUUUUCUGGGAAGGGGUAGAAAGGGUGCAUCGACAUUCAGUGAAUUUUUUUUUUUUGCCAUUUCUUGGGCCGCUCCCAUGGCAUAUGGAAGUUCCCAGGCUAGGGGCUGAAUCAGAGCUGUAGCUGAUGGCCUACGCCAGAGCCAUAGCAACACGGGAUCCAAGCCGCGUCUGCAACCUACACCACAGCUCACGGCAACGCCGGAUCCUUAACCCACUGAGCAAGGCCAGGAAUCGAACCUGCAACCUCAUGGUUCUUAGUCGGAUUCAUUAACCACUGAGCCACGAUGGGAACUCCAGUUCUACAGUAUUAAUAUUGCUGUUAAAAAAUACUUAAUUUCACCAAUCUUAAACUUUCAGCUAAUAGAGAAUGGGAAGAAAUCUGCCGUUUUACUAUGACCUUGGUUUGGGACAUUUUUAUAUACCUCCUGUAUUUGUUAAAGUGCUGCUAGAUGCUUGUACAGAUAAACCACCACAAUUGCAUUACACAAUAAACAUUUCUGCCUUGCUCACAAUACAUACUAAAGUAUGUGGUCCAAGUUGGGUGGUCUUCUACCUAUCAGCGAAGUGAUCAUUCUGAAACUCAGCCUCCUACUAUCUUAUGGUUCCAUCUCCUUCCAGCACCUUAGAGUCCUCUUCACUCAGAACUGGGAAAGGGACCAUGGAGAAUACAGAUCUGUCUCCUCAGUCCUUCCCAUGUUGAUCACUUUUCCACUCAUACGUCCUUUGGCUACAGUGUCCUACUUAGAUGCAAGAACGCUGGAAAAUGUAGUCAUUAGCUGGACAGUUACUUCACCAUGACAACUCAAUACUGCUGAAUGAAACUUUGAUAUCAUUUCAUGUCUUUGCUACACCUCUGAAAUGUAUGUAUAUUUUAGGUCAUUACAGCUAAAUGAUCUUGCAUUUUUGGAUAAAAUGUCCAAUAAAGCAACACAUCACGUGGAUUAUGAUAGAAAAUUAUAAAUUGAAGUAUAGCUGAUUUACAAUGUUGUGCCAAUUUCUGCUGUACAGCAAAGUGACCCAAUCAUACAUAUACACACAUUCUUUUUCUCAGAUUACCUUCCAUCAUAUUCUUUUUUUUCUUCUUUUUAUAGAUGUAACUGCAGCAUAUGGAAGUUUCCAUACUAGGGGUCAAAUUGGAGCUGCAACUGCAGGCCUAUGCCACAGCCAUGGCAAUGCUGGAUUUGAGCUGCAUCUGUGAUCUACACCAUAGCUUGUGGGAGUGCCAGAUUCUUAGCCCACUGAGUGAAGCCCCAGAUGGAACCUGCAUUCUCAUGGAGACUUCAUUCGGUUCUUAACCCACUGAGUCACAAUGGGAACUCCUUUUCCAUCAUGUUCUAUCCCAAGAUAUUGGAUAUGUUUCCUUGUUCUAUACAGUAGGAUUUCAUUUCUUAUUCAUUCUAAAUGUAAUACAUUGCAUCUACUAACCCCAAACUCUCUGUCCAUCCACCUCCUCCUUGCCAACCACAAGUUCAUUCUCCAUGUCUAUAAAUCUGUUUCUGUUUUGUAUAUAGGUUCAUUUGUGCCAUGUUUUAGAUUCCACAUAUAAGUGAUAUCAUAUGCUAUUUGUCUUUCUCUAUCUACUUACUUCACUCAGUACGAGAAUCUCCUACUGUAUCCAUGUUUCUGUGAAUAGCAUUAUUUUGUGUUUUUUAUGGCUGAGUAGUAUUCCAUUAUAAAUAUGUGCCACAUAUUAACAAGGUUUACCUAGGAAUCAAUCAUUCCUAGAUUAAUACUUAUAUUUCUCAGCUGGCAGUCAUUCCAUUCAAUUAUUACCCUAAAAAAACAUCAGAAGUUCAGGUCCCAAACAAAUGCUUUCUAGCUCCAGGGAGGGAUAGUAAGAUAAUUUUUUUUAAGAUAAUUUGGUAUUUCAGUUGAAUUGUUUCAUUAGAAGUCUGCCUGACCUUUUAUGGAAAGUAGUCUUGUACAGAUAGCACUGGAUUAUAUAUCUCCAAAAAGUUGCUUUUCCAAACUCCUGGUUCCUGAGAUUAUACCAUACAGAGCUAGUUGCUCAUCCAUGAGAAAGCAGGAUAAAUCUAAAUAAGCAGUUGGGAUACACAAAUUAAAAAAAAUAGAUGAAGAGGAAAUACUCUCUCCACAGAGUUACCCACACUGGUUUGUGGUAACACAUUUGUUUCUAGUUCUGGGGAAAGUUUAGGGUAUGGCUUUGAACAGCACCCAAACAAAACUGCAAGAAGCUUGUCCAUCCUCUUUUCCAAGGAAAUGACCCUUUAUGCUUCUCCAUGUUUUCAAGUGGGUCGGUUAUAAAAUGAAAAGAGACAUUUUAGCAAACCAAUUAGUGAUCAAGAUGAUUAUGCUCUAAUUGUUUCUAUAUUUUAAAGGAAAAUCAUUGCCAAAUUUAUCAAUAAUGAGGCCACAUUUAUCUGGUCUUAGAAAACCAUUCUGCAUUUUCCUUUUGGUGUUUUUUAGUGAUAUUCAAUCAUGUGUUUUUAUUUGAUGUUUUAUGUACUUUCAUAGAUCGCCAAGUUUCAAGUCUAUUUGAAAGUUCUCCAGAGAAGGUCUCAAGAAAUCCAUGCAGAGAGAUCUUUCAGUGUUAUUCCUUCAUCUGGCAUGUGCUUACUGAGCACUUAUGACAUAGAGAUACUAUGCUAAAUUCUUUAAAGGAUACAAAAGUAAACUGACCCCUCCCCUUAAGAAGUUUACAAUAUAGCUGGAGAGAGAUGAUAUUUAUAUAAAGGAAGAGUCUUCAAAUUUUAUUAGGCAUGAUAGCAUAUACAUUACCUUGUUCUAUAGACUAUUUUCCAAUAUGAAUACCAGAAGGAUUAUUAUUCAUUGUUCUGUAAAUGUUUAUCAAAACACUUUAACACAUAUUCGAUUUUAUUCUUCUAUAGGUAUGUGACAAUAUACAUAGACUAGGAUAUAUACAACACAAUAUGGAAUCUCAGACCUCUAUGAAAUACCAGUUUGUAGCUGACAAUCUUCUUUCUUUAGGAUCAUCUGAAGUUUUAAAUGCUACUGAAAUUUUAGCUUACAGAGGGGUAUACGGUCAUUUCUGAAAGAGUUUGAUAUUCAACUUGAUAUGCACAGGAGAAAAAGAACAUAAAAAACCCAGUGAGGUAUCACCCAAUAGCUUUGUGUUCCAAUGUCAUGAAUAGACGACAGAUCUUACUAGUAAAGGAAUCACAGUGUGCUAUUGAGAAAGAACCUAUUUCAGCUUUCCUUCUUUGAAAAGUACACACUGACAAUGAGUUGGUCUGUCAGCUGAAAAGGUAUUUGGUGAUUUAGAGAGGACUCUACUGCCCUUCUCUCUUCCGCUUUCUCUCCGGCCAACGCACACUCCUGGAAGAAAGGAAAAACACAUUCCCCAGGGCCUGAAGAAAUGAAUGGAGGCAUUGUCAGCCAGGAGAGGAUAGGAAUGCUUCACACGUUUAUCAUCAUUUUCUCGUCAAUGUCCACUCCUCUUUCUUCCCCUAAGUAUUUGGCAAUGACUAAUAACUGACCAAAUAACAUAAAAGAACAAUUCUGAAAUCUUAUCAGGUGUAUUCUUAUGGAGCUGCUAACACCUGUAAUUUAAAACUGAUUAAUUAAAUCAAAGUAGAAGGAAACUUGCAAGAAGAGAAAAUAUAUCAGUAAUCUUGGACUAAAAUGAAAGAAGGCUAUUUUGUUCAUGAGUUAUAUGCUGUAGUAAACAGGGUACCAGUGACUCCUACCCCAGACUCUUGAAUACAGAUGAUAGAAAAAAAAAAAAAGAGAGAGAGAGAGAGAUGUCAAAAUAAACCCAGUGACCAAAAGCAUCAAGUAGAAAGUAUUCCAAAUGUCGAGCAGAAGAUUCAGCUUCCAAAGCUUCUGAUAAAAGACACAUAAUUUAAUAUGGUCAGUUGAACUAACACAAGAUUCACAUCUUCCUGGCUUUUUAAAAUACUUAAUAAAAAAUACAUAUUUCCUAUUUAAACGAAUUUUAGUCCCCAGCACAAUACCUGAAUUUCCAAAAUCUGACCAUUUAUUUUGUAUGAUACAACUUAGAAAUUGCUAGAUCUAAGUGUUUAAACAUAAACAGAUUUUAGGAAUUACUUCAAGAGAGAUGAGUGAGAUCACAAGAAACUAGAACUCAGGGUAAGAAGACUUCUAAUGAACCUUUCAUUCGAAAAAGUAUGUAUGUAUCAAAGGCUACACCAGAAAAUCCCUUGGCUCCUGAACUUGGUGUUUUGCUUUUCUAAGAUCAAGAUUUUUUCAAGGGGUAGGUAGAUGACCCUUUGAGUAGUCUGAGAAAAGCUUAAGCACUUAUAAUUAAUAAGUUAAUUUCCUAAUACUUUUCUAAAGUUAAAAUAAAAAAACAUAUAAAGAUAAUUGAGUAAUCUAGUUCUUUACAGCUAGAGAUUUUGUAGAUUGAUUAGACUGAGUUUUGUCUAUUCUUUCUUUACUUUCAUAGGGUGCUUGCCCCCUAACCAAGAACCCCUGUGGAUUGAAUACAAUGAUAGGUUCAUUUCUGUAAGCCAUGCACUGAAGCAUGGAAAUGCACACAUUUUACAUUUCCUGCCAUUUGUCCUCUGUUCUGGUGGCAAGAAAAAUGUGUUUCUGAUAAAUUUCUGAGUAUGAGCUGAU
rnacentral:lncRNA from 1 species